rnacentral:rRNA from 1 species
AUUGAACGCUGGCGGCAGGCCUAACACAUGCAAGUCGAACGAGUGGCGGACGGGUGAGUAAUGUCUGGGAAACUGCCUGCUGGAGGGGGAUAACUACUGGAAACGGUAGCUAAUAUCGCAUACCAUCGGAUGUGCCCAGAUGGGAUUAGCUAGUAGGUGGGGUAAAGGCUCACCAAGGCGACGAUCCCUAGCUGGUCUGAUAGGAUGACCGUCAACACUGGAACGGAGAUACGGUACAGACUCCUACGGUAGGCAGCAGUGGGGAAUAUUGCACAAUGGGCGCAAGCCUGAUGCAGCCAGGCCGCGUGUAUGAAGAAGGCCUUCGGGUUGUAAAGUACUUUCAGCGGGGAGGCGUUACCCGCAGAAGAAGCACCGGCUAACUCCGUGCCAGCAGCCGCGGUAAUAC